UGCUCAGGAAGUACGGCGGCAACAAGAAGAGACAGGCGCCGGCCUACUUCGAGGACCUGUACCGCCAGAGUCUGGCCGUGUCGAUGCGGCCCGGCUCCGAGCUGGAGAAACUGGCCGCCCUGGUGGAGCAGAUUCGCCUGGCGCAGAAGCACUCCUGACCGUUCCGUCCGUGGCUCGAGGGUCUAGCCGCAGCCGAGUUGGGCCUUGUCUUACCUC